AGCAGCGGGACCGCAGAACGCGCGUUAACUCCUUCAAACGAAGGCGGAGAGGCGUUCUGCGAGGCCGUUGUUUCGAACAAACACGCCGACGAAGUUUACGGGACGGCGAAGCGUCGCCCCGAGGGCGCUCCCCGCGGUGCCGCGCUGUGCCCCCCCCCCCCGGAGCCCGGCCGAGUUUCGGAGCAGCCCCCGAGCCCAGCCCGCCGCGCUCGGUCAGCGAGCAGCGCAGUGCAGCGCCUUGCUCCCCCGGCUCCCCGCCCGGCUCGGCGCAGCCCGCUCCCUUCGCGGCCGCCCUUUUACCUGGCGUGGCGUCCGCCGGCUCGGCGCGGCUCCCCGCGCGCAGCAGCAGGAGCAGCGGGAGCAGCAGGAACCUCCCGUCCCCGCCGCCCGGCCGGGGCGGCUGCCGCAUUCCUGAGCCGACGCCGCGUUACUCCGACAUCCACCGCGCAGCGCCGGCGUCCCGGCCCGGCCCGCGCAGCGCCGCGGGGCCGCCUCUCUUCUCCUCUCUCCUCCGUCCGUCCCGCGCCGCGCCCUCGGGGCUGCGCUCUGCCGGCGGGAGGGGAAGGCGGCGCGGGCGGCCGCCUCAGCCCUCACUUGUCACUUUCCGCCCGCUCCGCUCCGCGCGCAGCCCGGCCCAGCCCCGGCCGAGCCCCCGCUCAGCCCGGCCCCGCAGCGCCCCCUGCCGACCCGCGCGCUCAACGCCUCCCGCCCCUCGGCCCCGGGGGGGCGCUCGCUUCCCGCCGCCGGGCGCCAUUUUGCCCCGCGCGGCCGUCGGGGCUGUGCGGGAGCGGGGUACGUGGGAGGGCUGGAAUCGCCCCGCCGAAGCGUGCCACAGCGCGAGCAGCGGUCAGCCCGUACCUGCCCCGCGCGCCAGAGCCUCCCAGAGUUUAUCCUGCUGAGCUCUUUGGGUGUCCCGCUGUCCUUUUGAGACCAUUGCCAUUGAAGCAAAGAAACCACAAACUUACAGUCCAGGAAAGGGAUCUCUCAGCUGCCCUUCACACGCGGGUUGAGAGGCUUCCAAUUUUCCGCUCAGCAAACUUAAAACUCACUGUGCGCCUCCUUUUCCUGUCAGUCAGGAGCUCAGAAGCCCAGCUAGCACCUGAGGAACUCUUUUCAACCCUCCCUGCCAUAGUGGGAUCAACAUUUAACUCGCUAAUUAUCUGCUAG
rnacentral:lncRNA from 1 species